rnacentral:rRNA from 1 species
GACGAACGCUGGCGGCGUGCUUAACACAUGCAAGUCGAACGGGCCCGCUCUCUUUUUUGGGGGUGGGUUGAGUGGCGACCGGGUGAGUAUCACGUGAGUAACCUGCCCCCUGCUCCUGGAUAACUGCUUGAAAGGGCGGCUAAUACGGGGUGUGCCGGCUGGUCCGCAUGGGCCUGGUCGGGAUAGUUUCAUCUUCGGGUGUUUCGGUGGGGGAUGGGCUCGCGGCCUAUCAGCUUGUUGGUGGGGUGAUGGCCCACCAAGGCGGUGACGGGUAGCCGGCCUGAGAGGGUGGGCGGCCACACUGGGACUGAGACACGGCCCAGACUCCUGCGGGAGGCAGCAGUGGGGGGUAUUGCACAAUGGGCGGAAGCCUGAUGCAGCGACGUUGCGUGAGGGAUGGAGGCCUUCGGGUUGUGAACCUCUUUCUCCGGUGGUGAAGGCCCUGUCCGUUGCGGCGGGGUUGACGGUAGCCGGGUAUGAAGCGCCGGCUAACUACGUG